UACGGAGGGUGCAAGCGUUAUCCGGAUUCACUGGGUUUAAAGGGUGCGUAGGUGGGCAGGUAAGUCAGUGGUGAAAUCUCCGGGCUUAACUCGGAAACUGCCAUUGAUACUAUCUGUCUUGAAUGCUGUGGAGGUAAGCGGAAUAUGUCAUGUAGCGGUGAAAUGCUUAGAUAUGACAUAGAACACCUAUUGCGAAGGCAGCUUACUACGCAGAGAUUGACGCUCAUGCACGAAAGCGUGGGGAUCAAACAGG
rnacentral:rRNA from 1 species